UAGAUCGCAGGAGCAAUUUAAUCUCUCUCGAGCUCGCGACAGUGCAAAGGAACUCCCUGCUCCUGUACAACCCGGGGGGGGCCGUCCAGCAGGGAAUUCUUUGCUUUAGAAAUACUGGACGGGGCCGUGCGCUUCUCGUAUGACCUUGGUUCGGGACCGGUAAGGCUGGAGACAAAAAAGCAAGUGGCAGAUGGACAUUUUCACAGUAUCACUGCCAGGAGGAUUGGCAAUAUGGGCUCUCUGCAUGUGGACACUUGUACAGAUGUUGAGAAUAAUGGAUUUUGUUUUGCUCAGCAUGAUGGGAGUAGUGCAGAAAGGACACUGGAUGUUGGCAGCAUUAAUAUGACAGUUGGAGGACUGAGGACUAUUGAAUCUGUUUUACUCCAUCCUGCACAGAUAAAAACUCAUGACUUUAUUGGAUGCAUUCGAAACGUCCAUAUAAAUGGCAUACAUUUGAGGCCAUCAAUGGCUCUUGCAACAUAUAACAUCCUUGAGAGGUGUCCUCGGGCAUCAGUUUCACUCUGUCACAGCAGUCCAUGUAAGAAUGGCGGUGUGUGCCAUGACUUAUGGUCUCAUUAUUUGUGCAAA